rfam:Candidatus Magasanikbacteria bacterium RIFCSPLOWO2_02_FTLL_44_11 rifcsplowo2_02_scaffold_8654, whole genome shotgun sequence.
GUCAGGGUAGCUCAGUUGGUUAGAGCGGAGCAUUCAUAACGCUCAGGUCGUGGGUUCGAUCCCCACCCUUGACA